AAAUUUGGCCGGAAGUGCCCAAUUAAAUCUCCUGUUAAAAAUCCUAUAAGUAAUUAAAAGAAUCCUCUCACCCUGAAAUAUCUCAAGAAAUGCCCAAACACAGCUGCUGUUGAAAGUGGAACUCAAAUUUCCAAUUCUAAAAGGUUCUCCACGGAAGUUACAUUUUGGCACACCCUAAUCUCAGCGUACCACUUUUGCCUUCUAAACACUUCGAAGAAGCUUCCCGAUGCUUGGAAGAAGAAAUGAAUAAAGUAAAAAAGAUAGAUAGUAAUAUUUUAAAGUUCCAUGACUAUUUUAAAGAUACCUAGUUAACACAUCCAGAGCAUGUUAGUGUUUUUAAUUUAAACACUAGAAGUACUGGAGGGCCCGAAAGUUUCCACCGACACAAUAAGACAAAGCUGGGAGGAGUUCACCCUAUUGUCUGAAAACUUAUUGAUGGAAUGGAAAAAAUUGUAAUAGACGAAGGAAUGAAUUAUUCUCGAUUAGACAAAGGAUUGCCGACGAAAAAACACACACCUCAAUACCUUAUUGAUCGGUGUAAUUACAUUAGAAAGACUCAGGAUGAUUUAGACCACGGUUAACAGUGAAAGAGUUUCUAAAAAUAUUUCCGAAAUGUUUUGAAGAGUUGCAAUACACUUUCAAAAAAUUAAUUAAGGACUGUGAACUUAAUUUAAUUAAAGACGAACCUGAUCCCUCAAUUCUCGAUAUAAGAAAAAACGGAGAAACAGCUGAUAUCCAUAAAUCAUUAAAACACUUGGAAAACAUUACAAAUAAAAUUGAUUCACGUUUAAGCACUGGAAAAGUUACCAUCAAUACCUGGCUACAAAAAAAAGAGAGAAAGAAAGAAAAAUAAAUCAAGGAAUUCAUGUAAACAAUUGAAGAAAUUAGAUUUAUCACAAAUGACAAAAAAUCAUCCACCUCUAUUGAAAUACCAGAAAUUAGUGAAACUGUCUCGAGACCACUUAUUCAUCCUUCUAAUACAAUUCAUGAAGCUUUUUUUGAAAAUGGGAUACAGAAAAAUAACAUUACUGCGUCGGAACCUUGUGCUGUUAAAACUAUUGCAGAAAAGUCAUCUAAGUUAUCUAAGAUUCGCUUUCUAAAAAAAUCUAAUCCUAAAAACUAAUAUGAUUUAUCAAGAAUGAAGACAAUUCUGAUAUCUGCUGUACCAAUAAGAGUGGAUACGACUAGUUUAAGUUCAUUGAUUCGUAUGACUAGUAUGACUAAACUCUUCCAGCAUAUCUUCGACACGGGUCGCAAGAAUUUAUCGAAAAUAAAUUACAAACUUCCGCUACUGAAACAUUUUCUACACGGAGAAAAAAGUAUUGCUAUUACCACGAUACAGUAUAGUGAUGAUCACGAUCCCCGCAUGACUAUACUUUAGAUACGCAUAUGCCCAAUCUAGUGGAUCGUGAUUAUCACGAUCCACAUGGAUUCGGAUAUCGAGUGUCAAUAUUGCUAUAGCUUAUAGAUAAUUAGUUGUCUUGAAUUAAAUAUUA